UUAAUUUUGUUGUUAUCAAGUUAAAACUGAUAUGUCUUUGGUGACUAUGGGGGUGGUGAAUCUUGGUGUCGUGUAGUUGCUGAUUAUGAUCAAAUGAGAUGUGUUUUAUGGGUAACAUUAAUAUGUUCUAAUCUUGUUUCGAUGUGUUUUGGAUGAGACCUACUAUUUGAAACUGAAUUGUUAAGAAACUAUGCAACAUAUAAGAUUUGUAAAUUCAGUAGAUAGUUUGAAGAAUGGUAUAUAUCGAAGGAUAUUUACUGUUACAAGAAAGAUAUAAAAUUGGCAUUUGAUAUUGUGUGGUAGAUGCUGACAUCAGUUUCAUUCGGUCUAUUAUACAAGAAAUAAUCUUAACAUGGAGGGACAAGGAUGGACAAAAGAGGAAAUGUCUACUUUUACAGCUACAGUUGCUGCAGCAACAACAACUAUUACAGUGGGAGAAUACUGCUGAAAUUAUUUAUUUAGGACACCCUCACGAUUUGGAGAUUGGAGACUAUGAAAGAAGCAGGAUCAUAAAUGGGAUAAUUAGAGUGGGUGACCAAGAAUGUGUUGCACAACUCUGAAUGAACAAGGCCACAUUCUUCAACCUAUGAUCCUUUCUCAAGGAUAGGAAUCUCCUUCCUGAAGGGAAACAUGUUUGUAUGGAAGAACAACUUGUCACGUUCCUUCAUACAGUAGGGCAUAAUGUGAGGAACCGUGUCAUUGGUAAUCAGUUUAUAAGGUUUGGAGAAAUUGUAAGUUGAUAUUUUAGUAAAGCUCUAGAUGCCGUUGUCGGACUAUAUCCAGGGUUUAUAAAACUCCCAAGUGCAGAUACACCUAUAGAGAUUUUAGCUAAUCCCAAUCGGAGCACAUAUUUUCAGGUAUGCUCAACUGUAAUGACAUCAUGCAAAAACUUGUGAUGUGCAACCUUCUUUUAUCUAUUUCUUUACUGAUAAUGUGUGUUGAAAUUGGGACUAUAUUGGUGCAAUUGAUGACACCCAUGUACCUGCCUAUGUGCCUGCAUUAAAAAGUGCAACCUACUAUAAUAGGAAAGGAAUCCUCUCUCAGAACGUAAUGGCCGCAUGUACAUUUGAUAUGAAGUUCGUAUAUGUGGAUGGGAAUGAUCUGCCUCCGACGCACGUGUCUUACAAAGUACAUUGACACAUUCCACUGAUCGUUUUACUAUCCCUCAGGGUACUUCGAAUGCAAAUAUAUGAUGGAACAUAUUCAUAGGAUUAUUUAUAAUUUUAUUUAUAAUGAUAUUUACUCAUAAUUAACUGUAGGUAAAUACUACGUAGUUGAUGCUGGUUACCCUCAUUCACCUGGAUUUAUGGCUCCUUAUUGCGGUGUAUGGUACCACCUCAAUGAAUAUUGCACAGGCCGCAAUCCUUCAAACAAGAAAGAACUUUUUAACUACUGACAUGCUCAAUUAUGAAAUGUUAUUGAGUGGAUAUUUGGAGUACUCAAAGCUCAGUUUCUAAUCCUCAAAUCAGCUCCACCAUUCAACCUUAAUGCACAACUGAAGAUAGUGAUCGCAUGUUGUGUAUUACACAACUUUAUCCAUUUAUUUGGAGGAGAUAGUUUAAUCAAAGAUGAGGUCGCCUCAAUGGAUUCAACAGAGUGUGUAGAUCUGUCACCAUGUGAGGGUAAUGUCACGCAAGGUGAAAAGGAUGAAUGGGCGAUGUUUAGAGAUAAUAUUACUUAGAGGAUGUGGAAUGAAUAUCUUCUUGUGAGUCAUAUCGUAUGAUAAUCGCAUGCUAAAUUGUCAUUUUGUACUCGAUAAUAGAUAUGUAAUUGUAAUCUCAAAUACCUACAAGCUUGUGUCUAGAUUGACAUCCUUUUGGAUGUAUGAAAAUAUGAUUAUUCGCUCUUUUAACUUUUUAUCAUGUCUGAAAUGUGUGUAUUUAGUGAAAAAUUUUCCUUUCUUAUAUGAUUUAUAUGAUGUAUGUAAUGCUUAUUAAAUAUGCUCAUAUCACUAUUUGUAGAUAAUUGAAGUUAGUGGCGAGGAAAUGUCUCCAAAGAAACCAAACAACCAAUCCACACCGACUAAAGAAACUGGUCAAGAACGGUGUGUUACACCACGAAGGAUGCCAAGGAAAUACAAAUUAAAAUCGCCUGAUGGAAAUGUAUUGUCAAUUAGUGCAAUGUUGUGGACAGAUGAAAUGGAUGACUGCCUUAUCGAUACGCUGAUGGAUGUUGUUGCAAAUGGCAGUAACGUACCAAUGGUUUUAGAAGGAAACCUACAAAACAGUCGUGGAGACUGUGAGGAGUGCAAUAGGAAUAACAGUUCAAGAGAAACAUGUUGGGAAUCACCUAUGCACAUUGAAGAGGUUGUAUUUCGAGGUUUGGGACACUCUGAAAUGCUAGUGGCUUUGGUUGGGACGAUGACUUGAAGAUAGGGACCUCUCUUGAUGAUGUUUGGGAGGAUUACAUACGGUCACAUCCUUACGCACAACAUGUUUGGGGGGAAACGGUGCGAAGGUGCGAUGACCUAACAUACGUAUUCGGUAAUGACCAAGCAACCGGAUUGUGUGUUUCCACAAGAAACAUGCAUGAUACUAAGCCAUCGAGAAGGCCCACGGAUACUGAUAUUUCACCGACAUGGUCUGUCGAUCUGAAUGACGAUACUCUCGUGUUAUCGAGUGACGAUGUAGGGGACAAUGUGCCUAACAUCUAGUGGUUGUAUCGAAGUCACGAUGGUUCCCAUAUUGCAAAUCGAAGUUCGAUUGUGAAUGGGAACACCUCGGCUGACACGGAAAGCACAAACAAUUCAAGGAAGAGAGUUAAGAUGGAACGCCCUUGUUAUGUCAUAGCUAAAGGAAUGAGUGACGUUGCUGAAGCUAUCAAAUCACUGGAUAUUACCAUACACCAAGGGAAGGAUAUGUUACAUAUGUCACAGGUUGUACUUGCUCUGGAGUAGAUUGAGGGCCUUACAGGUCACGAGAUCUUAUGUGCAACAAGGAUACUAUCGAAAGAUAAACAACAAUCUACUUCAUUCCUUUCUCUCCCUGAGAAUAGAAGGUUGGAUUUCAUGUUAAUGAUGCUUGCUCCAGAUCAGUCAUCUGACUGAGCAUAGUCCCCUCCACCUGACCGUAUGGGUUUCUGUUUUAUUUGGUUGGUUUGCUAAGUGAUUUUUUGGACAUACAAUUUUUUGGACAUAUGUGCUAGUUGUGUUGACUAGCUGGAUGAAUAUGGGUUAUUUUGAAUAAUCUUAUUUAUUUAUUUUUUGAAUUUUGAUGUGUAUUGAAUGAUCUAUCCAUUGAUGCUUGUUAACCUGUAUUAUCUGUUUAUAAGGUCUGGUAAAUUUGUUAUGAUUAUGUCUACGCUGCUCAUGUUACUGCACUAUGUAAAGGAUAACAAUUCAGAUUUAACAGAUUCAGUCUCCUCUUUAGGUAUCCUCUAAUAAUGAUUAUAUCUUCAUUUAUCAUUGGCAGUUAUAUAUAAAUAGUAGUCUUUAUCUCAUUAUGUUCCACUAUAAAUGCAAAUGGUUUGACGAUGUUCAGUUUCAUUUGUAAUAUGCAAAUGGGUAAAAAAAUGUACAUUGUAUUCAAUGGCUGCCAACCCGGCAUCUAUUAUACAUGGGAGGAGUGCCGUCAACAAGUUGAUGGAUAUUCUUUAGCCUGCUUCCAUGGCUAUAAAUUGGCAACGGAAGCAUAUACUCAAUGGACUGCUUUCUGCGAGGUUUCCUCGCAUCAGAAUGCAGCAUUGGGUGACUUGGAUGCUGAUUAUGACACCAUGGGAUCGACGCAUGAACGUGGUUGCAUCGCCAGUUAUAGCAACCACCCUACAGGGAGAUCGAGAUCACCAUUAAAUUAUUGUCAUUAUAGUGAUGGCAACAGCACAUAGGGAGAUAAGGUUGAUGAAACACCGCAUUCAUUUGAGGCGCUGAUAAAGAUUGCAUUUGGUUGCUUGGUUUUAAUCCUCGCCAUUCAUCUCAUCUCGUGUCGUUGAAGAUCAAGCUUACCGGAUACAGUGGCCAAAUUAGUAACUGGUUUUACUUUCUAUUUUUUGGGAUGUUUUUGGAUAUAUUUUGGACUAUGAUGGACUGUGAAAUUUUAUUCGCUAUAUAUGUUUUGGCCAUGACUA